rnacentral:rRNA from 1 species
AUGCUCCCGCUCGCUGUUGCAAGGGCCUGCCUUUCCUCCCUGGCGCCUCUGCCGAGACCCCAAACCCGAGCAGCGCCUCUCUCCCCCCUUCACCGUCGCCGCUCCACUGCCACGCUGCCCAGACCCGCCAGGAUCCCCCUCCUCCGCCCGCUCGGGGCCACCAUGGGCGUCGGCGCGUCCUCGCGGCCCGCGAGGGACCGUGUGAUCGACUUUGGCAAGCACAAGGGCCAGAUGUUGGGCACGCUGCCGCCGUCCUACCUGCACUGGGUGGUCGCGGAGCUCGACUAUGGGGACACGCUGGUUUUGGCGCGCCUGGCGCGCGAGGUGCUCGACGACCCCGUCUACGUCGACCGCGUCGAGUGGGAGCACGCGCACCGCUUCCUCCAAGUUCGACUACGUCUACACGACGGCGACGGGCCGCUCCAGGAGAUGGCUGAGCGCUUCGGCUGGGAUCUCUCCAACGAGGACGGUUGGGGCCGCCUCGACUUCCGCCUCCUCAGCACCUCCUACGGUGGCCGCAUCCCGAGGAAGGCCGACCGGCGCCAGAGCACCGACAGCGGCAACAACAGAUCCCCCCACGGCGGCGGCGCCCUGUUCGACACCGGGGCGGCCGACCCGGACGGGCCGAGGGGGAAGAGGGACGAGAGGAGGGAGCGGAUGCGGACGAGGAGGGAGGAGCAGGUGAGGACGGUGAAACUGGAUGUGCUUGGCGUGAACUCCGGCGCGAAGGAUGGCCACGGUGGCACCUGGUUCGUGGGCCCAACCGGUCAGAUUUAUGCUUAG